rnacentral:rRNA from 1 species
UUGGGAAACGUGGGUCUAAUACCGGAUAGGACCAUCGUUUAGUGUCGGUGGUGGAAAGUUUUUUCGGUGUGGGAUGAGCUCGCGGCCUAUCAGCUUGUUGGUGGGGUAAUGGCCUACCAAGGCGUCGACGGGUAGCCGGCCUGAGAGGGUGUACGGCCACAUUGGGACUGAGAUACGGCCCAG